AUACGGAGGGUCCAAGCGUUACUCGGAAUCACUGGGCGUAAAGCGCGCGCAGGCGGCUAUUUAAGUUGGAUGUGAAAGCCUACGGCUCAACCGUAGAACUGCAUCCAAAACUAUUUAGCUAGAGUGUGGGAGAGGAAGAUGGAAUUAGUUGUGUAGGGGUAAAAUCCGUAGAGAUAACUAGGAAUACCAAAAGCGAAGGCAAUCUUCUGGAACACUACUGACGCUGAGGCGCGAAAGCGUGGGGAGCAAACAGGAUUAGAAACCCUAGUAGUCC
rnacentral:rRNA from 1 species